AUUGAGCGCUGGCGGCAGGCCUAACACAUGCAAGUCGAGCGGGGUUUUCGGACCUAGCGGCGGACGGGUGAGUAAUGCGUAGGAAGCUGCCCGAUAGAGGGGGAUACCAGUUGGAAACGACUGUUAAUACCGCAUAAUGUCUACGGACCAAAGUGUGGGACCUUCGGGCCACAUGCUAUCGGAUGCGCCUAAGUGGGAUUAGCUAGUUGGUGAGGUAAUGGCUCACCAAGGCGACGAUCUCUAGCUGGUUUGAGAGGAUGAUCAGCCACACUGGAACUGAGACACGGUCCAGACUCCUACGGGAGGCAGCAGUGGGGAAUAUUGGACAAUGGGCGCAAGCCUGAUCCAGCCAUGCCGCGUGUGUGAAGAAGGCCUUCGGGUUGUAAAGCACUUUCAGCGAGGAGGAAGGGUGGUGUGUUAAUAGCACAUCAUUUUGACGUUACUCGCAGAAGAAGCACCGGCUAACUCUGUGCCAGCCGCCGCAGUAACAC
rnacentral:rRNA from 1 species